rnacentral:rRNA from 1 species
UACGGAGGGUGCAAGCGUUAUCCGGAUUCACUGGGUUUAAAGGGUGCGUAGGCGGACUAGUAAGUCAGUGGUGAAAGCCCAUCGCUCAACGGUGGAAUUGCCAUUGAUACUGCUAGUCUUGAGUAUGGUUGAGGUGGGCGGAAUGUGUCAUGUAGCGGUGAAAUGCUUAGAUAUGACCCAGAACACCAAUUGCGAAGGCAGCUCGCUAAACCAUAACUGACGCUGAUGCACGAAAGCGUGGGGAGCAAACAGG